CUUGGCCGCUGUGCUUGCAUGCUCUUCACCCUGCUCCUGCCCACUCUGCUUGUCAGCUUUCCUCAGUCCUGAAAGGUCCUUAGUGCCUGGAUUUUGUCAUCCAGCCCUGCAGGAUGCUCCCCUUUGUUCUGAGGAAGGCUGUCCCAGACAGAGAGGAGGAGAUGGAGGUAGAUACAAAGAUUGAUAUGGAGGAGGAGAUGGAAAUAGACGGAGAAGACGCUGGAGAGGAAGAGAUGGAUGUGUAUGUGGAUGAGGAAGAAGAGAUGGAUGUGGAUAUGGAAGAUUCCAUUGAGGACAUGGAUAUUGAUUAAAAAGGUGCGAUGGACAGCACAGACAGAGACACCAACCUUUGUAUAUAUGUUCUACAGUUUGUUGUUGUUCUUUAGAAUGUAGAUUGUAGGGCUAUUUUUGACUUCUGUAAAUACGUUUCACAUAUUUUUGUUAGGUAGGUUUUUAU